ensembl:snRNA U4 U4 spliceosomal RNA
UUCUUUUUGCAGAGCAAAUAUCAAAGUCUGUGAAGUACAACUGAGAUGUUAUAAUUGUUGGUUGAAAAGUUAACCCAAUACCCAAAGGAUGGCUCUAAACUUGCAAUCCAUUGCAAUUCUUGCCUGUCUCCAACAGG